UCCCCGAUAGCUCAGUUGGUAGAGCGACGGACUGUUAAUCCGCAGGUCGUAGGUUCGAGCCCUACUCGGGGAGCCA
rnacentral:tRNA from 2 species